GCCACCUCGUCCCAAGACAGUCUGUCUCUGCAGGAGACAAUCUCUACCUCCAGGGCACUGACUUCGCUGUGCAGGGGGCUGGUUUACCCCUCCAGCUCCUGUGCAGUCAGUUCCUCUAUAUGGGUACACAAGACAACUUCCUUCUUGUUUUGGCUGAAGAGUACUAAAUGAGUGGACAACCAUAAUCCAUUUAACCAACCCCUAUAGAUGGACAGUUGGGCCAUUUCCAAUCUCCAGCUGCUACAAAGAAAUCUGUGAAGAACAACCUUGAACAUAUGUCAUUUUGUACAUGCAAGAAUAUUUGUAGGAAAAAUUCCUAGAGUUAGCAUUAUUGGGAAAUGAGUGGAUACUUCCAAGUUUGGUAAAUAUUGCCAAAUUGC
rnacentral:lncRNA from 1 species